rnacentral:rRNA from 1 species
AUGUGGGACCCACAUGUAAGUUCUCUCUUCUUCCUCUUAUUUUUUCUCCUCUACCUUCUCCACCAACUCCACCACCACACCUCCACCACCUGCCGCAGGCCAAGCCAGGUCGGACCGCGAGACGGGCCGCCGCACAAACUGCCGCGCCACCACCGGCACUCCCGUCUCCUCGGCGCCGUCGUACAUCGCCGGCAACUGCUUCGCAUCGCCGCAUUGACCCCUGCCCCGCAUCGACAUCGAGCCGCUUGCUACCGGCGCCCUCGUCCACGCACCUGGGAGAGCACGCCGGAGGUUGGGGCACCAAGAGGUGGAGGCUGA